rnacentral:lncRNA from 1 species
GCGCUGCAAGGAUUCUUUGAAGCUCUGGUGUAUCAUGCAAAUACGAGUUUCUACACCUUACUCGACUCAUUACUUUCUUGUGCUAAGCUAGUUCAGUAGUUGGUUAAUGUGAAACCAGUUUCUAAUCUCAUGGGGAUUGAGUGUCAGCCCGGUAAUAAAUUUAUGAAUAUGGAUCUCAGCUGGUGGUGUUAGUUCAUGUGAUACCAAAGCGGGUUUAAAUGAUAUAUUCAACUCCAUAUGUUCCCCCCAGACCCCAGUCUUAUAUAGUAAGCCUUAAUUCGAUGUUGGAUAUCUCAUUUAAGUUCCAUUUUUUGGGUUUCAGCAUCUCUUGCUUCGAGUCUGUCUGAUGAUUUGCUCGCAAAAGCGACAGUUCAAGUUGUGAAAAACCUAAGUAACAAGAAUGCGAAAUCGGAGAUUACACGCACCAAUAUUCAAAUGAUUGGAGCUUUAAGGUACUUCCUUUUAUCCUUCUUAGUUGUGGUACUUGUCUUUAUCCAUGUAUAUGUUUCUGUUAGUUGUGGUUGUCCUGACUAUUCAUUGAAUGGGAUGCAUGUUUUACCUUGUGUAUUAUGAAUUUAUGAUUAGAGUUGCCAUGGGUGUGAUGAUAUUUAUUACGUUUAUUUUUGUUUCAGCCGCUCUGUCGGAUACCGAUUUGGGACUCAUCUUGGUAAUACUGUUCCAGUAUUGAUCAAAUACUGCACCAGCGCUUCGGAGAAUGAUGAGGAGCUCCGCGAGUAUAGCUUACAGGUCUCACACAAGAUUCCCUAUUUUCUACUUUCUCACUAGGCGUGCAUCUUUCUAUUUUCUUAUCCAAUUUCUUGAUCGGCCAAUUACGUAGGCGUGCUCGUAGUCUCUUUUCUGUUACUCUGUCGUCUGAAAUUUGGAUUUUAAUCUUCAUUAAGCUUCGGUGAUAGUUGUAUGAAAAAUGUUUUUGAUAUUUUACUGCAGGCACUUGAAAGUUUCUUGCUACGGUGUCCAAGGGACAUCUCACCAUAUUGUGAUGAAAUUUUGAACCUCACUUUAGAAUACAUAAGUUAUGACCCAAAUUUUACGGACAAUAUGGAGGAAGAUACUGAUGAUGAGACUCUUGAAGAUGAAGAAGAUGAGUAAGUUAUGAUAUAUGCAUUGGAUCCGUAACCUUGCUUCUUGCUGUGCACAUUUGUCUUAGUGAUUCGUGUCUUUCUCCUCACAGUGAGAGUGCGAAUGAGUACACGGAUGAUGAGGAUGCCAGCUGGAAAGUUAGGAGAGCUGCGGCGAAAUGCUUGGCAGGAUUAAUAGUUUCUCGUUCUGAGAUGAUCUCUAAAGUAUAUCAAGAGGUAUAUCUUAUUUUAACACCUAUCAAGAGGAUUAUAUAAUAAAUUACUUCUCUUGAUAUGUUUAAUUAAAAUGAGAAAUCGAUAUAUACUGUAAUCUCUUGAGGAAAUUAAUAAUAACUCUUCUUGUGCAGGCCUGCCCAAAACUGAUUGAUAGAUUUAAGGAAAGAGAGGAAAAUGUGAAGGUAUGUAAAAUAAAUGCUUGAUCCUGCAUUGUUAAACGAUCACUGACCCGCGGUACUGUUGUUACAGAUGGAUGUUUUCAACACAUUCAUUGAUCUGUUACGGCAAACAGGAAAUGUCACAAAAGGUCAAACUGACACCGAUGAAUCAAGGUAAAUUCUGCAUCCUUUCACUCCAUCAGUAACUAUGGAUGGUCUGUCACAUUAAUGAUGAAUUUUGCUAACAAAAUAUAUAACUUUGAUCGAUGCAGUGCGAAAUGGCUACUGAAGCAAGAAGUCUCAAAGAUUGUGAAAUCCAUAAAUAGGCAGCUGCGUGAAAAGUCUGUUAAGACGAAGGUACGAAAGUGUGAAUUUUUCUUUUCGGCUUGGUUCCUUUUCGGUAUUUUAAAAGCUCCUUACCUAUUUGUAGGUUGGUGCAUUCUCUGUUUUGAGAGAACUUGUGGUCGUCCUGCCUGACUGCCUUGCUGAUCAUAUUGGUUCACUAGUUCCUGGAAUUGAAAGAGCGCUUAAUGUAAGUGGGGAUAUUCAGUACACAUAUUUACAUUCUCUCGGUGUCGUUCUUUGUUAAUUUGCUCAUGUUUCCUCCUUUUUCCCCUCCAGGAUAAAUCUUCUACUUCAAACUUGAAAAUCGAAGCUCUUGUCUUCACAAAAUUAGUAUUGGCAUCGCAUGCACCUCCUGUUUUUCAUCCUUACAUUAAGGUUGGAAACUUUUUGUGGUCUUCUGUCCAUCGAAAUAUUGUCAAAAUGUUCAAUGACUACUGUUGAGUCAUAGACGUCAGAACUUAGUUUUCAAAACUAAAUGACGUUAACAGCUGAUGAAGGUUGAUUUGACUGACUCUUUAACUUUAUGUCAAUCUAGGCUCUUUCUAGUCCUGUUUUAGCUGCUGUUGGCGAACGCUAUUACAAGGUGACCGCCGAGGCAUUAAGGGUCUGUGGGGAACUUGUCAGAGUAGUACGCCCAAGUACUCAGGUAAAUCAGUGUCAGCGUUUUUUAAUUAUCAUUCGAUCCAUACUUUUACCCGUUGACAACCCACAGAUUUUUGCUUCCACUGAUAUCUUCUCUUAUGUGGUUUAGGGUAUGGGCUUUGAUUUUAAACCAUUCGUUCAUCCGAUCUACAAUGCGAUAAUGUCUCGCUUGACAAAUCAAGAUCAGGACCAGGUUUGGAAUGAAUCCCCCUUUUUUAUUUUUUUCAUCGUUUUUUGAAUAUCCUGGCUUUGGGGCAUUAGAUCUGAAUUUUAUUUGUGAACUCUUUCAAUUUGUUUUUAUGAUUAAUUACUGAAAUUGGAAAAGAUAAGCAAAUUGCUGUGUGUUUUAUGGUACUAUUUAUGUUUCUUAAUCUCUCUUCGCUGUAACAGGAGGUCAAGGAGUGUGCUAUUACCUGCAUGGGUCUUGUGAUUUCAACAUUUGGCGAUCAACUUGGAGCAGAGUUGCCUUCAUGCCUUCCUGUGCUUGUUGACCGAAUGGGAAACGAAAUCACUCGCCUCACAGCAGUAAAGGUUGUUCUCAUGCUUUGGUUGACGCUUUUAUUUUAAAUUUUUUAGCUCAUUUUCGUGAUUGUGUUGGUGCAUGCAGGCAUUUGCUGUCAUUGCCACAUCUCCGCUGCACAUUGAUCUAUCAUGUGUCUUGGACCAUUUGAUUGCUGAAUUAACUGGGUUCUUAAGGAAGGUAUAUCAGUAUAUGGCUUCUUACUAAUAGGCAUCAAAUAUGCUUUUUCUGUUUACUGACUCAUAAUCUGUGAAAAAAUCUCUGAAUACAAUAAUUUGUACUUAGGCAAUUUGUAUUUAUGUUUCUGUAUAACAGGCUAAUCGGGUUCUACGGCAAGCAACACUGAUUACCAUGAAUACCUUGGUAACAGCCUACGGUGAUAAAAUCGACUCAGAUGCUUAUGAAGUUAUUGUUGUGGAGCUUUCAUCUCUGAUAUGGUAUGUUUGUCCAGAACUUCCGCAAAUGUUUUUUUUCUCUCUAAACCUUUUAUGUUGGUGGUUCAUUAGAUGAAUGACUCUCAUCUGUCUUUUCAGCGUUUCGGACCUCCAUAUGACGGCUCUUGCACUUGAACUCUGCUGCACUCUGAUGACCGGAAAGAGUUGUAGUGAAAAUAUCAGUUUGGCGGUUCGCAACAAAGUUCUUCCACAGGCAUUAACUUUAGUUAAAAGUCCAUUGCUCCAGGGUCAAGCACUUUUGGUAAUUUUAUGUUUUGUUUGAAUUGUUUUAUACUUUACCUGGAUCAAAGAUACAGCUGAGCUGAUCUUGUGGAUGCUUUGUCACAGGCUCUGCAAGGAUUCUUUGAAGCUCUGGUGUAUCAUGCAAAUACGAGUUUCUACACCUUACUCGACUCAUUACUUUCUUGUGCUAAGCCUUCCCCUCAGUCGGGAGGCGUCCCAAAGCAAGCAUUAUAUUCAAUUGCACAGUGUGUUGCAGUUCUUUGUCUCGCGGCAGGUGAUAAGAAUUGCUCGUCUACAGUUAAAAUGCUUA